GACGAACGCUGGCGGCGUGCUUAACACAUGCAAGUCGAACGAAGUGGCGAACGGGUGAGUAAUACGUGGGUAACCUGCCCUCCUUUUUGGGAUCAGCCUUGGAAACGGGGUCUAAUACCGAAUAAAGGGGGAUGGGCUCGCGGCCUAUCAGCUUGUUGGUGGGGUGAUGGCCUACCAAGGCGGUGACGGGUAGCCGGCCUGAGAGGGUGAACGGCCACAUUGGGAGUGAGGUACUGCCCAGACUCCGACGGGAGGCAGCAGUGGGGGAUAGUGCACAAUAGGCGAAAACCUGAUGCAGCGACGCCGCGUAGGGUGUGAAGGCUUUCGGGUUAUAAACCUCUUGUGCUAUCAAACGGGUAGGUGGAGAAGAAGCGCCGGCUAACUACGUGCCAGCAGCCGCGGUAAUUC
rnacentral:rRNA from 1 species